ACCAACAUAAAAAAAAAAAAAAUUGGGCCCCAUAUUUUAAACAAGUCCUAAAAAAAAAUUGUAAAAAUAAAAUAAAUUGUGGGGCCCAUAUUCAACAACAUCCAGUAUUAAAAAAAAAUUGUGGACCCCAUAUUAAACAAUAUCCAGUAUUAAAAAAAAAAGUGGAACCCACCAUAUCCAAACUCACGGGAAAAAAAAGUGGACCCCAUAUUAACAAAAUCAAGCAAUAUUGAAAAAAAAAGUGAAUCCCAUAUUUUUGGGCCCCAUAUUAAGCAGGCCCUAAAAAGAAAUGUGGGCCCCAUAUUAAAAAAAAAAAUUGUGGCCCCAUAUUAAAUAACAUCCAGUAUUAAAAAAAAAGUGGAACCCACCACAUCCAAACUCACGGGAAAAAAAAGUAGACCCAUAUUAACAAAGUCAAGCAAUAUUGAAAAAAAAAGUGAAUCCCAUAUUUUUGGGCCCCAUAUUAAGCAGGCCCUAAAAAAAAUGUAAAAAAAAAAAAUGUGGGCCCCAUAUUCAAAAAACAAUUGUGGGCCCCAUAUUAAACAACAUCCAGUAUUAAAAAAAAAGUGGAACCCACCACAUCCAAACUCACGGGAAAAAAAAGUGGACCCCAUAUUAACAAAGUCAAGCAAUAUUGAAAAAAAAAGUGAAUCCCAUAUUUUUGGGUCCCAUAUUAAGCAGGCCCUAAAAAAAAUGUAAAAAAAAAAAAUGUGGGCCCCAUAUUCAAAAAACAAUUGUGGGCCCCAUAUUAAACAACAUCCAGUAUUAAAAAAAAAAAGUGAAACCCACCACAUCCAAACUCACGGAAAAAAAAAGUGGACCCCAUAUUAACAAAAUCAAGCAAUAUUGAAUAAAAAAGUGAAUCCCAUAUUUUUGGGCCCCAUAUUAAACAAGCCCUAAAAAAACAUUGUGGGCCCCAUAUUCAACAACAUCCAGUAUUAAAACAAAUUAUGGGCCCCAUAUUAAACAACAUCCAGUAUUAAAAAAAAAAGUGGAACCCACCACAUCCAAACUCACGAGAAAAAAAAAGUUGACCCCAUAUUAACAAAAUCAAGCAAUAUUGAAAAAAAAGUGAAUCCCAUAUUUUAAAAAAAACAAUGUUAAAAAAAAUGUGGGCCUCAUAUUAAACACGAUGCGUAUUCAUAGCAAACACUAAUAUAAUAAAGUUUUAAAUACGGAGCACAAACUAUAAUGUUAUGUUAAUCGUGUUUUGAACAUAGUAUCCCAUAUUGACAAAAUCAAGCAAUAUAUAAAAAAAAUGAAUCCCAUAUUAAAAAAAUAAACAAUGUCAAAAAAAAAAGUGCAGACUUUGUAUUCUUAGCAAACACUAAUAUAAUAAAGUUUUAGAUACGGAGCACAAAUUACAAUGUUAUAUCAAUCAUGUUUUGAACAUAGUAUAUAUAUAAAAAUAAAAUAAAAUUAGGCCUCAUAUUAAACAGGCCCAUAAAAAAAAAAUUGUAAAAAAAAUAAUUAUGAACCCCAUAUAUAUUGACCCUAUACUAAACAACAUCAAGCAAUAUAUAUAAAAAAAAAAGUGGAACCCACCAUCUCCAAACUCACGGUAAAAAAAGUGGACUCCAUAUUAACAAAAUCAAGCAAUAUAAAAAAAAAUAAAAAAUUGAACCCCAUAUUCAAAAAAAAUAAUGUCAAAAAAGACUUUAUAUUCGUAGUAAACACUAAUAUAAUAAAGUUUUAAAUACGGAGUACAGACUACAAUGUUAUAUUAAUCCAAAUUCUCCUAUUGUAGACAUACUGCCACCCACCAAACAACUUUGCAGCUACUUGGUCUAUGUUGUUACUCUUUAUUUUUGUUUCGAACAAGCCAAUUAACCCAACCUUUUCUUCAUUGCAAAGGAGCUUAAUCUCCUUCUGCUUAUUAGGGCCAUUGAGACCCCUAACAUUCCAACUGAGGAUCUCAAAUGUUUGUCAUAAGCAAUUUUGUAUUUUACUAUUGAGUUUAGCCCUUUCGUUCUCUUCAAUUUCCUGACACAUGCUCAACUUGACCGAACGAUGGAAGGCACAUAGGACUUUUCUGGAGUGCAAGAUGAAAUGGGUGAAGGUUGCAAAGAAGCUGCUUUAUAGUACUGGUCUAUGGGCAGCUCAUAUUGAGUGAGAAUGAGAGAUAUUUUUUGGGAAUGAAUUUCAUAUCAUCGGUGCUCACAGAUUCGUCCCUAUCUGGAACUGAAGUGAGUUUCGUAACUUGAAUACUUAAAUUUGUUCAAGGAAAAUUCAAGAUUCCAUCUCACUCUCUUUCGGUCUAAAGACGAUAGAAGUGAAAGUCGCGGAGGUAAGUUUGAAAUCAUACUAAUUUUUUCCUUAUUUUGGUGCAUCUCUGAGGUUAUGGACAGAAGUAUGAAUAUUCUGACCAUGCUUUUUUUUGUCUUAUGAAAGAAUAUUAACUGUAUUAUACAAAAAGAAAAUACUGAAGUUUGUGGCUUGGAUUGGUUCAUCAUCAUAGAAUUAUGGCGUUUUAAGGAAAAAGAGUUGGUUCAAUCUUGAGCACAUGCAGUCUUAGGUGUUUGAAUCAUGACAUAUCUCUGAAUGAACUUAUGUAAAUUGGUGUUGGCCACUUUUCGUACAUACUAUUUUAAGCCACUUGACUGUAAGACUGUAAUCUAGCUGCUUUGAUAACAAAAAUUAUAUGAUAUAGAUCUCCUUGAUUGUAUAGUUGUCUAGGAUCUAAUACUUAAAAGGUAGAUGUUGGGUAGUGUUACAAAUUAAGACGUUAGCCAUGUUGUUGGCUAGUUGAAUUUAGCCAUGUUGUUGGUUAGUGGUUCAUCUUAUUCUGCUAUCUUAAAUAAGAUAGAAAAAGUUAAAAGAAGCUUUUUGAUGCAGAAGUUUUUAUUUUUUGGUUCUGAUUUAUUUGCUACAAUAUGAUGGUAUACAAGCUCUGGUGCUUUGCUCUUUUCACUCUGAAUGGUUUUGAAGGGAUAUCCUUGAUUUAAUGCGGUUAAAGAACUCAAACAUGUGAAAUAAUUCAAGAUCUUGCAUUGGCCAUUGAGAAAGAAAAUUAAAGUUUGGGCAAUAUGAACGAUACUGUGGACGUCAGCAUAGUGAAUGAAGUUGUUUGCAAAUAACUGGUUCCUUCUGCAAAAAAUUGAAGAUGACAUGAUUAUCAAGUCAUCGUUAUGCAGCGUGGUUUCUUAGCUUCCUUUGUCUUGGAAUAACUAUCAGUUCUUUCUAAAAGGAAACCAUGAUUACAGUCGAGAUGUAGAGGAACGACUCAAUCCUUACCCUUAGGAAAAUUGAUAGCAAAUGGCAUUGUUUAAGGUCGUCCAUAAUUAAGCUAGGUUUAAGAUCUCUUCUUCUUCAUCUACCUUUUUCCCAGGUUAGUUUCUUGGUUAAACUUUCCUUAUUAAAUUAUGUUUAUAGCUCUUCGAAAACGAAAAGAAUAUUCUGGUUGAAAAAACAUGUAAGCAAUGAGAACAAGAAGAAUAUCCAAAAGCAAAAUUAACCGAGUUGGACAUAGAGUAUUCUGGCAAAUAACGAUAAUGCUGGAUAGACCAGCUAAGCUGAAUUACUUAUUUUAACACUUUCAACAUAUUUAUUUAAUUAAGAUAUUGUGUUAGUAUAGUUAGUGGUGCUUUUAUAUAUAUUUUUAGAGAGAAUGUAUCCUUUUAUGGACUUGAUCCAAAUUUGGGAUUUUCAUUUAUUUCAUUGACCUUAUUUCACGAUUGCAGUACAUAAAGUACUGCUACUUUGUUGUGAACUCUAAAAAGGGUCUGUCCUGAAAAAAACAUCCUGGAUAAAUAAAGGACAUGUCUUGUGGAGAAAAGAAAAGUAUUCCCAGGACUUGAUCUGCUCCUAUUCUUCCUGUUGAAUGCAUCAUUCUAAUUAAUUCAAUUUACUUAUUCGUUCACUCAUUCAUGCCAUUGCCAUAUGAUUUUCAGGUGUGCUCAUAUGAAGUUGGAUAUUCUGUUGUUCUGGUUCAUUAUUUUACUAGGCUUAAGCUCUUAGGUGGCUAGAGUGACCACUGUUAGGAUCUGUUUCCUGGACCAUUGGAUUAUACAUCAAUGCAAAUAGUUAUAUCAUGAACUCAACUAUGCCAUUGUGAAAGCUGUGAAAGUUGAAAGGUGAAGAAUGAAGUAAAAUAUGCUAUUGUAAAGCUAUUCUAGAUCAACCUUGGAAUGGAUCUACUGCUUAGCCGGAAGACCAAGAAAGAUAUAGUGAUAAGUUUUAGUAGUAUGUUCAUGGAAAUGAAAUCAUUACCUUAUGUUCUUUACUGGUGGAAAGUUUUUUACUAUAAAGUGAUAAUCGACUAUAAUGAAAUGUUUGCUCUGAAUUUGAUUGAAUAAGUCCAGUUCUCUUAGACAUUGCUGGUGUUAUUUUGUUCUUCAUUAAUACAGCUGUAACUUUGUGCAUAAUGACUGCAAAGGAUCCACGGCUUUAAAAUGUAAAAUCUUGGGCCCCUGCACAGCACGUGCAAUACCCCUCUGAUAAUAAUAAUAAUAUACAGAAGUGGGAGUUGGAUGGGACGAACACAGCUACAAAUAUUUGUACAAAAAGCUACAUAAAUAGCACCCUAAACAGGGACAAUGCAAUGUACUGUCUACUUGAAGUAAAAAAAAAAAAAGUGUACUGUCUACUUGGACAUAUGUUAUUGGGUGAUUGAAUUUUGCGUUUCUACUAUGGACACCUGUAGUUUGCAACUAAAUAUUAACCCUUCAAUACACGUGUGUGUGGGGAACAAUUGUUUUCCUCUGCCAUUUUCACUCAUAUUCCCCCAAAACACUUUUCCUUCUUUGUUUAGACUUAUGUUCUUUUACUACUACUCUGUUACUAAUUCCCUCUGCAAAAUUGAUGCAUUCUCUAAUUUUCAAAUUGAUUGUUCUCCAAUGUUGCUCGUUGAGCUCUCUUUCAUUUGUCUUUGUGUUGAUUAGGUUCUUUUUUUUUUUUUUUUACUCAGUCUUUGUCUCUUUAAAUAUUUAUGGGUCUUCUGUAUUGAGAUGUCGGAAAUGGAAUGGAGAGAAAUGGCUAUUCAAAGUUAUUGCAUGCGAGUGUUUUUGCCAUUUUGGUCAUAUAUUUUUUUGAACUGUUGUUGUUGAAAGUUGUACUUACCCAAAUUUAUGCUGUCACGUAAAAACUAAAAACUUGAAUGCUAUAGCAUUGAGGAAAUUUUUUUUUCCUCAAACCUUGUGUGCCUUACGGCAGUUUAAAUUAAUAUGAAUUUUCACUUUAUUCUUGAGUUAAUUUCGCUUCGUAAUUUUCAUAGGUGUUUCUUUGUCUAUGGAAUAUCAAUUUGUUUGCUCUCAUAGUUUCUUAUUCAGUUAAAUGAACAUGCACUAUUUCGGAAUUUUGCUUCAAUAAGGGAAAACGUGCACUCUAUUUUUAACAUGAAUAACCUGGACUCUUGAUUUAACUUUGAUUUAUCUGCCUUUUCUACAAAUGCUUUGUGAAUGUACCUAUCUGAGGCAUGAUUACCAUUCUAUUUUCUCUUUGUUCUUACAAAGUCUUAGGCCGAUCGUUCAUUUCCUUUUUACUCUCUUUUCAUUUGAGGGUGCGGGAAGAUAUCAUUGUAGAUUUGGGAUUAUAAAGUUUUGUUUCAAAAAAGUGUUUCUUUUAUUUAGACUAUUUGAAGACAUUUCCUAGACUAAUAACCUUAGAUGGCCAUAUCUAUGGUUGCUGGAUAUUUCUGGAGAACUUUAUUUGUCAUCAUGAACUGUUUUAGUUAUCAACUAAUAAAGGAACAGGAGUGGACUUGCUUCCAUGGUUAACAAGUAGUAUAUAUGUCACUGAUUUUCUAUAGAGCUUUAUUCCCUACAUUUUGCAAUGUUCCGUUAAUUUUUCUGACAUAUUAUUCCACUUCCUUUUCAGUCAUUUGCAGCUUAAAGAAAAAAGCAAUACAUGUUUCGAUGAACCUCUAUCCUAAUUCACAGGUACUUCAAAAUGCCUAUCAGUUAUGUGGUUCCUGGAAUAGCGAAAGUUGGCUGCCAAGCUGGGGAUUGUAACUCUAGCUCAUUUGAAAUGAUGAAUCAAGACGUUCUUGAAGAUGCAUUUGGGUUGUCUCUUUCAUAUAUAUAUAUAUAUAUAUAUAUAUAUAUAUAUAUUGUAAACAAAAGCACCUAUUUAUCACAAUAAUGUGCACAAAAGUCUUUAGUUAUGGUAUCUAUUUUACACAUGCAACAAAUCAUGGCUUCCUGGUAACGUCCAUUGCGGUUGUUGCGGUGAGCCGGUGCUAGAUGAACUUUAAAACUCUUGGUUGAUGAGAGUUUUAGAUUUUAUUUAAAGAGAGUGGGAUUCAAUUUUUUGGCU